rnacentral:rRNA from 1 species
GACGAAUGCUGGCUGCGUGCUUAACACAUGCAAGUCGAACGGUGAAGGGGAGCUUGCUCCCCGGAUCGGUGGCGAACGGGUGAGUAACACGUGGGCAACCUGCCCCUCACUCUGGGAUAACUCCGGGAAACCGGGGCUAAUACCGGAUACGACCAGGAGCGACAUCACUUCUGGUGGAAAGAACUUCGGUUCGGGAUGAGCUCGCGGCCUAUCAGCUAGUUGGUGAGGUAACGGCCCACCAAGGCGACGACGGGUAGCCGGCCUGAGAGGGUGACCGGCCACACUGGGACUGAGACACGGCCCAGACUCCUACGGGAGGCAGCAGUGGGGAAUAUUGCACAAUGGGCGCAAGCCUGAUGCAGCAACGCCGCGUGAGGGACGACGGCCUUCGGGUUGUAAACCUCUUUUAGUAGGGAAGAAGCGAGAGUGACGGUACCUGCAGAAAAAGCACCGGCUAACUACGUGCCAGCCGCCGCCGUAAAAC